UCUGGUAACUAUGGCGAGAAGGUCACACCCGUUCCCAUCCCGAACACGGAAGUUAAGCUUCUCAGCGCCGAUGGUAGUUGGGGUGCAAACCCCUGUGAGAGUAGGACGNCAGGC
rnacentral:rRNA from 1 species